AUAUAUCUCCCAAGCGGCUAAUAAUCCCAUCCGGCAGUCUCUAGUCAUCGGUAAUAAAUCCCCCCAAUAACGAGACCAAGCUACGCAUUGAGGGUAAAACAUGAACUGGCUUUACUGUGGGCCACCUGCCCGUAUUUAUGCAGGUCUCCCACUUGGUGGACACUCCCCUAGGGGACCAAAUGGGAGACUGUAACAAUAGACAGACAUAUGGCAGGUUAG